GGAUGUGAAGGCGAUCUGGCUGACCUGUCACCCCAGGGUUGAUUUGGCUGAUCUGGCUGGCUAGGCUGGUGUCCCCUUCCUGCCUCACUGCUCUGUGUGUCCCUCCAGAAGCUGCGCGCUCAGUCGAAAAGGACGGCCUUCCCUGAAUAGAGACAGGCGGGUCUUCAGUUGAGGGUAUACAAGUGGUUGUGCUCCCCUGCUAGAACCUCCAAAAACAAAACUCUCAAGUUCCUAUCAGAAAGUGAUGUAACCUAAAAGGGACAAAUUUUCACAAGAGCUAUGGUACAAUUGUUUAAUCAUAACAUUUU
rnacentral:snRNA from 1 species